GCUGGGCGCAGUGGCUCGGGCCUGUAAUCCCAGCACUUUGGGAGGUCGAGGCGGGUGGAUCACGAGGUCAGGAGAUCAAGACCAUCCUGGCUAACACGGUGAAACCCCAUCUCUACUAAAAAGUACAAAAAUCUAGCCGGGCGAGGUGGCGGGCGCCUGUANNNNNNNNNNUACAGGCGCCCGCCACCUCGCCCGGCUAGAUUUUUGUACUUUUUAGUAGAGAUGGGGUUUCACCGUGUUAGCCAGGAUGGUCUUGAUCUCCUGACCUCGUGAUCCGCCCGUCUCGGC
rfam:Chlorocebus sabaeus isolate 1994-021 chromosome 16, whole genome shotgun sequence.